rnacentral:rRNA from 3 species
GGACUACUGGGGUAUCUAAUCCCGUUUGCUCCCCUAGCUUUCGCGCCUCAGCGUCAGAAGAGGUCCAGCAGGUCGCUUUCGCCACCGGCGUUCCUUCCAAUAUCAACGCAUUUCACCGCUCCACUGGAAGUUCCACCUGCCCCUACCUCCCUCCAGCCGGCCAGUAUCCAAGGCACUUUUCCGGUUAAGCCGAAAGAUUUCACCCCGGACUUGGUCGACCGCCUACGCGCCCUUUAAGCCCAGUGAUUCCGAACAACGUUUGCACGGUUCGUCUUACCGCGGCUGCUGGCAC